rnacentral:pre_miRNA from 1 species
UCUGUGGGCCAAAGCCCUUUUUGUGUUGUACUACUGUCCGCUAUGGUGCUGAGCAGUGCAAUAUUAAAAAGGGCAUUGGCUGGCAG